GAAGUCACCAUUCCCCUUCUUCCAUGCUUCCCUCUCUCAGAGAAGAUGCUUCAAGGUUUGGCAAGAGGAAAAUAAGAUGUAGUUUAUUAUUCUAAAAUUUAACACAUCUUAAAUGAUUCCUAAAAAUUCUGCUGUGGUUGUCAGGUCCUGAUUACAUGGAAAUCCUAAUCAGCAGAUCAUAUGAGCUGUGGUUGUAGGAAAAACAUGCAAACAUUGCUGUCAGUCUUACUCCGUGUUCUUUACUAAGUUCAAUUUUGACUGACCUGUCCAGUAAGUUUAGAAAUAGUGAUUUCUUUAGAAACAACAGCACUCUGUAGCCCAGUGUGGCAGGUGUUAAAGCAAUAGUAAACUGUGGUGUAAACUCUGAGAGAAGGCGAGGGCCAGGAUGCUUUCCUGGAGUUCUUCCUUUGAAGGAGAUGAGAGUUUCAGAGACAGACAUUUGAGGGUGAAGGUUAAAAAAAAAAAAAAAAGGCAGAAAUAUGUAAUAUUCUUUACAGAGUGAGAAUUGCCCUAUACCUGUUUUGUCUGAAUUUUAUUUUAUGUUUAUGGUUGUUUUGCUUGAGUGUGUGUGUGUGUGUGUGUACCACAUGUGUGUCUAGUGUCCUUACAGGCCACGCAUCAGGUUGCUGAUGGUCAGGGACUGGACUCACAAUUAUGAACCACCAUGUAGGUGCCAGGACUAGAACCCAGUCCUCUGGGAAGACUUCCAGUGCUCUUAAUUGAUGGCCUAUCUCUUCAGCACUAUGUUUGAAUUUUAAAUAUGGUUUUAAUACUUAUAACAUUGAAAUUUUAUAAUUUGCCAAAGACUAACUACUUUUAUGAAAAUCAUAAUGUCAAAAUAAAGCUACAUUUUACUUCAUGAUACUUGCUCAAACAAUAGCAUGGGCAAUUGAAAAAUAUUUUGCUGUAACUAUUUCUUUUCUCUCUCUCUAAACUUAGUUCUGUGUUCUAUUCAUGGCCUCAUUUCAUGCUUUGUUCUAACAGUCAGUCAAACAUUAACUCUGUAAUUUGGAUUUACCGUAUUAACCCUUAAAUUAUAAGGAUCCUACCACUUGUUUUUAUUAAUGUCAGUAUUACAUUCAUUCCUGACUAUAUCCAUGGUAGCAUCAUACAUUUACCAACAAACAUGUGAGCACCAAAAAUUACCUGAUUUCAAUUCUGGCUUAUCCCUUUUUAAUUAAUGAUUAAAUUUUAUUUGUUUAAGACAGGGGGCUUGGAACUGGAGAGAUGGCUCAGGUUGAGAGCAAUGGCUGCUUUUCCAGAGGUCCUGAGUUCAAUUCCCAGCAACCACAUAGUGGCUCACAACCAUCUGAAAUGAGAUCUGGUGCCGUCUUCUGGCCUGCAGGCAUACAUAAAGGCAGGCCACUGCAUAUAUAAUACAUAAAUC
rnacentral:lncRNA from 1 species